UACGUAGGGUGCAAGCGUUGUCCGGAAUUACUGGGCGUAAAGAGCUCGUAGGUGGUUUGUCGCGUUGUUCGUGAAAACUCACAGCUUAACUGUGGGCGUGCGGGCGAUACGGGCAGACUUGAGUACUGCAGGGGAGACUGGAAUUCCUGGUGUAGCGGUGGAAUGCGCAGAUAUCAGGAGGAACACCGGUGGCGAAGGCGGGUCUCUGGGCCGAAACUGACGCUGAGGAGCGAAAGCGUGGGGGAGCAAACAGG
rnacentral:rRNA from 1 species